rnacentral:tRNA from 1 species
GGGAAUGUGGCUUAGUGUUAGAGUGCUUGCCUAACAUGCAUGAAGCCCUGGGUUUAAUUCCUCAGUACCA